AGGGGGGCUGCUCCUAGUACGAGAGGACCGGAGUGGACGCAUCACUGGUGUUCGGGUUGUCAUGCCAAUGGCACUGCCCGGUAGCUAAAUGCGGAAGAGAUAAGUGCUGAAAGCAUCUAAGCACGAAACUUGCCCCGAGAUGAGUUCUCCCUGACCCUUUAAGGUCCUGAAGGAACGUUGAAGACGACGACGUUGAUAGGCCGGGUGUGUAAGCGCAGCGAUGCGUUGAGCUAACCGGUACUAAUGAACCGUGAGGCUUAACCUUACAACGCCGAAGGUGUUU
rnacentral:rRNA from 1 species